GACGAACGCUGGCGGCGUGCUUAACACAUGCAAGUCGAACGAAGUGGCGAACGGGUGAGUAAUACGUGGGUAACCUGCCCUCCUUUUUGGGAUAAGCCUUGGAAACGGGGUCUAAUACCGAAUAAAGGGGGAUGGGCUCGCGGCCUAUCAGCUUGUUGGUGGGGUGAUGGCCUACCAAGGCGGUGACGGGUAGCCGGCCUGAGAGGGUGACCGGCUAAACUGGGACUUAGAGACGGACAAACGGCCUACGGGCGGAAGCAGUGGGGAAGUGGGGGAAAUGGGCGAAAGCCUGAUACAGCCAUGCCGCGUGGGUGAAGAAGGUCUUAGGAUUGUAAAGCUCUAUAAGUUGGGAGGCGUUACCAACAGAAGAAGCACCGGCUAACUACGUGCCAGCAGCCGCGGUAAUUC
rnacentral:rRNA from 1 species